rnacentral:rRNA from 1 species
GACGAACGCUGGCGGCGCGCUUAACACAUGCAAGUCGAACGGAAAGGCCUGCUUUCCCUUGUGGAUUGCGGGUACUCGAGUGGCGAACGGGUGAGUAACACGUGAGUGAUCUGCCCCCAACUUGGGUAUAAGCCUGGGAAACUGGGUCUAAUUCCCGAUAGGACUGCAGGGUGGUGCCUGUGGUGGAAAACGAUUUUCUAGUGGUUGGGGAUGAGCUCGCGGCCUAUCAGCUUGUUGGUGGGGUAAUGGCCUACCAAGGCGGCGACGGGUAGCCGGCCUGAGAGGGUGGACGGCCACAUUGGGACUGAGAUACGGCCCAGACUCCUACGGGAGGCAGCAGUGGGGAAUAUUGCACAAUGGGCGGAAGCCUGAUGCAGCGACGCCGCGUGGGGGAUGACGGCCUUCGGGUUGUAAACUCCUUUCGACCGCGAGGGAGCCACCUGGUUGGAAGGGUGGUGACGGUAGUGGUAGAAGAAGCACCGGCUAACUACGUG